AAAACCUUCGGACCGUUUGCCUACGGAGAAACUUUACCUACUCAGUGGACAACCUUCCCUUUGUCGU
rnacentral:pre_miRNA from 1 species